GACGAACGCUGGCGGCGUGCUUAACACAUGCAAGUCGAACGAGUGGAGAACGGGUGAGUAAUACGUGGGUAACCUGCCCUCUUUUUGGGAUAAGCCUUGGAAACGGGGUCUAAUACCGAAUAAAGGGGGAUGGGCUCGGGGACUAUCAGCUUGUUGGGGGGGUGAUGGCCUACCAAGGCGGGGACGGGUAGCCGGCCUGAGAGGGUGACCGCCAACAUUGGGAUGGGGAUACGGCCCAAAGUCCAAGGGGAGGAGGCGGGGGGGAUUAUGGCACAUUGGGCGAAGGCCGGAGUCGGUGAGUCCGCUUGGGGGAUGAAGGCUUUCGUGUUGUAAACCUCUUUCGCAAUCGAACGGGUAGGUGGAGAAGAAGCGCCGGCUAACUACGUGCCAGCAGCCGCGGUAAUUC
rnacentral:rRNA from 1 species